rnacentral:rRNA from 1 species
UUUGGUUAAGUUAGAAAGGGCGCACGGUGGAUGCCUUGACACUAGGAGUCGAUGAAGGACGGGACUAACGCCGAUAUGCUUCGGGGAGCUGUAAGUAAGCUUUGAUCCGAAGAUUUCCGAAUGGGGAAACCCACCAUACGUAAUGGUAUGGUAUCCUUAUCUGAAUACAUAGGGUAAGGAAGACAGACCCAGGGAACUGAAACAUCUAAGUACCUGGAGGAAGAGAAAGCAAAUGCGAUUUCCUGAGUAGCGGCGAGCGAAACGGAACAUAGCCCAAACCAAGAGGCUUGCCUCUUGGGGUUGUAGGACAUUCUAUACGGAGUUACAAAGGAACGAGGUAGACGAAGCGACCUGGAAAGGUCCGUCGUAGAGGGUAACAACCCCGUAGUCGAAACUUCGUUCUCUCUUGAAUGUAUCCUGAGUACGGCGGAACACGUGAAAUUCCGUCGGAAUCUGGGAGGACCAUCUCCCAAGGCUAAAUACUCCCUAGUGAUCGAUAGUGAACCAGUACCGUGAGGGAAAGGUGAAAAGCACCCCGGAAGGGGAGUGAAAGAGAUCCUGAAACCGUGUGCCUACAAAUAGUCAGAGCCCGUUAACGGGUGAUGGCGUGCCUUUUGUAGAAUGAACCGGCGAGUUACGAUCCCGUGCGAGGUUAAGCUGAAGAGGCGGAGCCGCAGCGAAAGCGAGUCUGAAUAGGGCGUUUAGUACGUGGUCGUAGACCCGAAACCAGGUGAUCUACCCAUGUCCAGGGUGAAGUUCAGGUAACACUGAAUGGAGGCCCGAACCCACGCACGUUGAAAAGUGCGGGGAUGAGGUGUGGGUAGCGGAGAAAUUCCAAUCGAACCUGGAGAUAGCUGGUUCUCCCCGAAAUAGCUUUAGGGCUAGCCUUAAGUGUAAGAGUCUUGGAGGUAGAGCACUGAUUGGACUAGGGGUCCUCAUCGGAUUACCGAAUUCAGUCAAACUCCGAAUGCCAAUGACUUAUCCUUAGGAGUCAGACUGCGAGUGAUAAGAUCCGUAGUCAAAAGGGAAACAGCCCAGACCGCCAGCUAAGGUCCCAAAGUGUGUAUUAAGUGGAAAAGGAUGUGGAGUUGCUUAGACAACUAGGAUGUUGGCUUAGAAGCAGCCACCAUUUAAAGAGUGCGUAAUAGCUCACUAGUCGAGUGACUCUGCGCCGAAAAUGUACCGGGGCUAAAUACACCACCGAAGCUGCGGAUUGAUACCAAUGGUAUCAGUGGUAGGGGAGCGUUCUAAGGACAGUGAAGUCAGACCGGAAGGACUGGUGGAGUGCUUAGAAGUGAGAAUGCCGGUAUGAGUAGCGAAAGACGGGUGAGAAUCCCGUCCACCGAAUGCCUAAGGUUUCCUGAGGAAGGCUCGUCCGCUCAGGGUUAGUCAGGACCUAAGCCGAGGCCGACAGGCGUAGGCGAUGGACAACAGGUUGAUAUUCCUGUACCACCUCUUUAUCGUUUGAGCAAUGGAGGGACGCAGAAGGAUAGAAGAAGCGUGCGAUUGGUUGUGCACGUCCAAGCAGUUAGGCUGAUAAGUAGGCAAAUCCGCUUAUCGUAAAGGCUGAGCUGUGAUGGGGAAGCUCCUUAUGGAGCGAAGUCUUUGAUUCCCCGCUGCCAAGAAAAGCUUCUAGCGAGAUAAAAGGUGCCUGUACCGCAAACCGACACAGGUAGGCGAGGAGAGAAUCCUAAGGUGUGCGAGAGAACUCUGGUUAAGGAACUCGGCAAAAUGACCCCGUAACUUCGGGAGAAGGGGUGCUUUCUUAACGGAAAGCCGCAGUGAAUAGGCCCAAGCGACUGUUUAGCAAAAACACAGCUCUCUGCGAAGCCGUAAGGCGAAGUAUAGGGGGUGACACCUGCCCGGUGCUGGAAGGUUAAGGAGAGGGGUUAGCGUAAGCGAAGCUCUGAACUGAAGCCCCAGUAAACGGCGGCCGUAACUAUAACGGUCCUAAGGUAGCGAAAUUCCUUGUCGGGUAAGUUCCGACCCGCACGAAAGGUGUAACGAUUUGGGCACUGUCUCAACCAGAGACUCGGUGAAAUUAUAGUACCUGUGAAGAUGCAGGUUACCCGCGACAGGACGGAAAGACCCCGUGGAGCUUUACUGUAGCCUGAUAUUGAAUUUUGGUACAGUUUGUACAGGAUAGGCGGGAGCCAUUGAAACCGGAGCGCUAGCUUCGGUGGAGGCGCUGGUGGGAUACCGCCCUGACUGUAUUGAAAUUCUAACCUACGGGUCUUAUCGACCCGGGAGACAGUGUCAGGUGGGCAGUUUGACUGGGGCGGUCGCC